UAAUGAAGGAGACAGAUUUCCAGCGCCUACUUUCUGAUUGGACAACGCGUUAAAAACGUUAUACUAAUUUGCUUAAGUUCAUUAUGAGGCUCUUUAAGGCUCGACACACGAAACAAGCCCAUCAAAUGGUUCGCUAACUCUUUCAAUUGAAAAAAAAACUUGUGACAGCAAAACACAAAAUACAAUCAUAUGUGCAUGCAAACAUUAGAAAAUGAAUAUAAGCUGUGGAAAUACAAUCGUAAGUAUACAUAAGUAAGUUACAAGAGCCAUAUUACAGGCAAAAUCUAGAACGUAUUUAAAUUUUAAUCUGUAUCGAGACCCGACGCCGGGGGCAAUACUGUAACAAACAAUACCUACCUAAUUGUCUAACGAGCGAAUUUACGACAAUCACAAAGCCGCUAUUGUUAAAUUGCCUAGUUAAGUAGCGUAUUUUGUUGUCCGACACAGGUCCUUGUUAAAAUAAGCUAGUUAUAAUAAGAUCAUUUAGAACUUAUUAUCGAUGUCUAAUUGUGUUCACGUCAGCCAACGUAAUUCUUGAAAGAUGAAUUUCUUAUUAUAUCAAUGGAGUCGUGUUUUUUUUUCUCGAUAUAGGCCCUUGACUGUAUAAUAAUUAUUUCAUUAUCUGUCUAGGUUCAUAUGAUUAUAGUUACGGGUGAAUAGCAAAAAUAAUGUACUAGGUAAGGGUAGUUAAGGACCUGUAAAUUAGUUUUAAGUUAAUUGAUUCAAUAGUAUUACGAAAAUUAUCUAUGUACAUUGUAUUGCAUUGUAUUUUUUAUACUUGAUUCAUACACAUAUGUUUAUAGCAUACGCCAACACACUUUCAUGCAUGUAACUUUAAGAGAUACUGCUUGAUUGUCGUAACACAAUGGAAUCAAUUGACUUAAAAUGACAGGUGCUUAACUACCUAAGUUUAGGUGGGAUAGGAGAAACUAUGGGGUAAGAGAAACACUUGUAGGGAAAAUAAACAGUUACAGAUACCUUAAGAUAUUAAAAACGAAAUAAAAUGAUAAAACUAAAAAAAAAACUAUUGCAUUAUUAAAAAUACUUUGAAGGACCUUAUUAUUAUUACCAUAUUUUGCCUGAAAUCAGCUAGAUUUACCAUACCGAGCAUUGAGUAAUCAUCGACCGAACUUUAAUUACAAUGAACACUCCAUCGAAGUGCAAUUUAUAAAGCUUUCAGUUGCGUAUUUAUAAAUGGCGGUGUUAAAGCUAAUUAAAGCUGGACUGGCUGGUCGUCCAUCUACUGCGACCUACUUGUGUAGGCACUGUAGGCAGCAGACACACUGACUUUUAGAACGGCAAGUGUCCGAAGUAAGAGCAAACUUAUCUUAUAAUGAACAAAUGCGUUCACGGUUCACGUACGGGGAUAAUUAGGGAGAGGGGGUUUGACGCCCGCAUGGGAUUCGUACCUGGUGCAAAGGUUGUCCAUCGCCAUUCAACGUGGUAACGCGGCUAGUGUGAUGGAUACCUUUGCGCCGAGUACAACUCGAGAGGAACUUUUUGAUUAGGCUUAAGCUAGUCUUAAGAUAUAACUUUAUUGUUAUUCUGUGUAUUAACAAAUUGCAUGAAGUCCAUUUAAGACAUGUACACGUAAAUUAAACAAAGUUGGUGAUGUGCAGCAUCAAAAAAAAAUUAUUUUUUUUCGUUUUUAUUCUCAUCUGCCAUCGGCUUUCUUAGCCAUAAUCAGAUUGUAUGUAUGUAUCUAUAAAUGUAUUUUUCCAGGUGGUGGUCCAUUAACCACCAUUCCUUUAUGUAAAGACAGGGGGUGGGUUAUUCUCUCUGGUCUAGUUCCAAGAUCUGCCACCUUUUGAGUCUUGUGAUGUUACUGUUGUCGUUUAAUAGAUCUCUGGCAAGUUCAUUCUCAUGAUUUGUGAGCCUUUCCUUAUAUUUCUUUGAGUAGCUAUUUAUUUACUUCCUCUUUGAUGGUUGGUAUAUAUAGGUAGUCAUGUAUUUCUUUAUUACGGAUAAACCAGGGUGCACAAGAUAUUGUUCUGAGAGCAAUAUUCUGGAAUCUUUGAAGGAUCUCGAGGUUAGAAUUUCUCGCUGAACCCCAGAAUUGUAUACCAUACGUCCAGAUAGGUUUUAUAAUACAUUUGUAUACCAAAAGUUUGUUACUGAGCGUCAGAGGGGACUGUCUUCCUAUUAGCCAUAGUAAGCGCUUAAAUUGUAUGCUAGCUUCAUUUUUCUUUGCUUUGAUGUGAUUGGCCCAAGUGAGCCUCCUAUCUAGGUGGAGGCCUAGGUAUUUAACACAGUAUUCACUGGGUAGUGUCUCUCCUCGUAGGGUUACAGGCGGGCAGUCUCAUUUUCGUAAGGUAAAUGUUAUUUGGAGUGACUUUGAUGUGCUAGCCUUGAUUCUCCAUUUUUCAAGCCACUGGUCGAUUUUUUGCAGGUGUCUUUGCAGUUUUUAUGAUGCUGCAACGGGGUCUUUGUCAGCGGCGGCAAGGCACGCUGUGUCGUCAGCAUAUGUUGCUGUAACGACGUCUUCUGUACGUGGGACAUCUGCGGUAUAAAUUAAGUUGAGAAAAGUUGAUAUACUUUUUUUACAUAUAUUUUAUUUCAUGUUCGGUCAACUUCGGUCUAACAGAUAAGGUGACAUUAUAAUUGAAGGUUUUUUUUUUAAUAUAUAAAUUGUUAGCCGCUAAGCUAAACUAAUACAAGGAUUUUUUUGUCGAAUGUUGCCUACAGGCUACAGUGGUGUUUCACCACAAGAGCAGGUGCUACGGAUUUCGUAAAUCGCAAUGUUCGCCCGCGGAUGCAAAGCGUCAGUGCGUUUAUUAUAAUAAUCGCAUAAUUUACUCAUAGAUCAGCUGCAGAGGUGCCGGAUUGGACUGACAGAGUUUGAUUUCCCUUGCUUAUCAUGAAUAUCGUUUGAAGACCGCCGUUUACGGAGGGUAAAAUCACUUAGCUACGGCUAGUUUACGUCGAUGUGGUAAACUUAGGAAAUUGUAUAUGUUGGUAGCAAUGGUAGCUAAUAGCGUAGCGACUUACAAGCCAAAUGUAGUAGGUGCAAACCCUGACUUAUUAUACCUGUAAGUUUUUUGAAAUGUACGUACAAAAUAUCAUUUUAUAUUCACCAGUCGCUUUUCUUUAAAAAAGUGUGACGAAACUGGAGUGAUUAUAAUAGGUCCUGCCUGAUUUGGAUGGUUAGAUGGCAUUGAUAUUAGGAUGCCAAAGUAGACUCUGGGCUCCUUUAAGAUACUAUUAAAAUACUAGAAGUCGGUAGAAGUAAUUAAGAUAAACAUUGCUUGCUAUAGGUACCUACUUUCAAUUAGUUUCUAAGCAUUAUUGUGUACUUUUAUUAUGUACCUAUGUUUAAACUUUUUGAAUAAACGUCUUAUUAUUAUUAUUAUUAUUACUUUCGAGUGUCGUCAUUAAUACGGUAUGUCUCCCCCCAUGGGACUUUACUCGCUAAAUUAAGCUACUUUUACUAUGGGACCAACCCCUAAAUCGCGAGAAAAAGAUUCGCUUUUCCAUAGAAAACAUCGACAUCUGAUCAGCCAAAAUGUGUGAAAAAAUCUAUAUUUUUUUCGAGAUUUCGGGUUUGGUCCCAUAAUAGAAAUAUCUCAAAAACGUAGCGAGUAGAAUGAUGAUGAUGGGAGACACCUUGUAUAAGUAAUAUAUGAUAUGAAUUGAAACGGAAUAAUAAAGGUAUAGUGCUUUUAAUUUAUAAAUCUUCUGCGUUUUAGUCAAGUAGCUAGUUGAAUCUGUGUUCCCCUUCAAUCUCCAAAGCAAUUACGAGCUACGAGUUUUGUUAAAUGUAUCAAUGAAUACAAAACAGUGAAUGGACAGUUACGACACAAAUAUAUUGAAUAAACCCGAGUCCAGUCCCGAACCCCAACCUGCAGAGCCAGUCUGCCUACGCGUGGUCUGUGCCCAAAGCGUGGGUGCAACACCUUGCACCAAGGCAAUGCGAACUACUUGGGCUUUCCGAUUACUUGGUCCUUCGGCGUAAACAAGGUACUGUAAAUAUAACAUAAAAAACCGCAUAUAAGUGUAAAUUUGUCUUUUUUUGGAAAGAUAGUAAUUUGGACCCGGGUAUGUCCUUAAACUUCGUCCAAAAGAGACAGCCCACUCAGUGAAUGUCAUUUUGCUUAGUGUGGUAGGGCACAGCACCGCGAAUGUCAUUCUAAAUCUAGAGCAGAGCCCAACUGGGGAAGUAACUCCACCUUACAGAAAACCGCAGCUAAAUAUAACUGGACCAUAUUCAUAGUGUGUUCCUGCCGGUGAGUGAGGUUACCAGAGCUCAACGAGGGUACGGAGUGUUAAUUAGGGUCGGCAACGCGCAUGCACUCUGGAGUUACAAGCGUCCAUAGGCUACGGUGACUAUUUACCAUCAGGCAGACCGUAUGCUUGGAUGCCACCUACGUAGUAUAAAGUCUCGAUUUAAAAAAAGUAGAUGUGACUAUGAACAUUCACAUGAACAAACAAAAUAAUUACAAAGUAGCAUACAUUUUCACCAUAGUAAAAGUAUUAUAAUCCAAUACACACAAAUAAAGGUUGAACAUAAAAAUGUAGGUAUGUAUAACAAUAGAAUACUUAGUUAACUAUUUAUACGAUCAGGUUUAGAAUUUAACUGUAUACUUACCUGGACCUAGACUAACCUAACCUGGACUAUAAUAAGGUAUAUUAAGGGGACUUAUCCUAUAAUUCACCUCCUAAGAGGGCGAAUUGGGGACUAAAAUCAGUUCCGGAAUACUGAGUGGGACAAGUGGGAGAUGUAGACAAAAGCGCGGACUGAGGCUAGUGCAUUAAUAAUUCUAGGAUCCAAGUCAUUUAUAAAAUUACCAUUAUACCGUAAACGACUCGACGCUAAAUAACAAAUGAUAAUCAAAUCAUUACACCGCAAACUGCGUUAUUUCGCAAAACUAAAAGCGAUGAUCGUUGAAAAAUGAUUCAUAAUGCGCUCGUUCUUGACCCAGAUUCUGCGCGUACACAUGCGCGCUGCACUAGGAAAUCAUUCGAUGAUUUUUCCUGUUAUGAUAAUGAUUUUAUUAUCAAGGAUCAUGCAACUGGUAACAGUUUAUGUAACCAGAAUGAAAAAAACAGUGUCACAGAAUUGCGGCAUUUUACGUCCAUAGAAUACGGACACAUAAGAAUAGCAUAACAAGUACAUGGGCAAAAAAUUCAUGUGUGAUUCAUAAUCUACCAAAAGUGCUUUCAGCCAACAUUCCAUAAGUCGUUCUGCUGUUACUGUAUACAGCCAGCACAACAGAACAAUUUAAUUCAAGCUAAUAUCUGUUCUAUACAAUUUAAAGCUGGCGUAUCAGCUCUCCGGACUUAUUAGCUUAAAUUGCCGAAGGUGCAACACUUUCAGCUGAAAUACUUAAGAUACCUAAAACCACUUAAAUCACGUGAGAAUCAGGUCAAUUUAACGGUACACUCCGUAACUGUCCACAUAACAAUUAGGUAUUCCAUUCCUAGAGCCCUGAACAUGACCAGUACGUGCCUAGGGUAUCCUAGGUCUGCUAGGUUGUUAUGAAUUCGUGAUUAUGUCACGAACAGUCUUAGUUCACGCUUAUGCUAUUUAGGUACUUGCCAAUGACAGUGGUUAAUUCGAUCGACCUAUUUUGUAGUUUUGUUGGAUACAAUGCGGUAAAAGCAUACGACUUGCAAUCCGGAGGUCACGGGUUCAAACCCCGGCUCGUACCAAUGUGUUUUUAGGAACUUAUGUACGAAAUAUCAUUUGAUAUUUACCAGUCGCUUUUCGGCGAAGGAAAACAUCGUGAGGAAACCGGACUAAUCCAAAUAAGGUCUAAUUGCCCUCUAAGUUGGAAGGUCAGAUGGCAGUCGCUUUCGUAAAAACUAGUGCCUACGCCAAUUCGUUGGAUUAGUUGUCUAGCGGACCCUAGGCUCCCAUGAGCCGUGACAAAAAUACCAGGACAACGCGAGGAAGAGAAAGAAGAAAGAUAUUUUUGUAAAAGUUUAGCUAAAUAGUAACUCGAUAGUCAGAUAAUGAUUACAAAAUUUGUAUUAUUUGAUAGGUUACUUAGAAUAGAAUAGAAUAGAAUAAUUUUUAUUCGUAAACACAUACAAGACACAUUAAAUUACAUGAUAUAACAAAAAUAAAGAAAGUAUAAAGUGCCUCGAUAUUGCCUCAUCUCAGCAUGUUGCUGGUGGCUUCCAGCGCUGAUCUUCCGAUGAGACCAUCAAGUGAGAAAAAUCACGAAAGGUUAAUAGACAAGAAGGAAAAAGACAUAAAAUAAUAUAGAGUGAACAAAUUGAAAAAUAGAUAAAAAAUAACGACUAAUUAAGUAAAGAUUAUUUAUAUAUCAAGCAUCGUAAACAUAACACUGUAUCGGUCCGGUCCAACCAUACCUUGGCUGAAUAUUACAGCUGCGUACGCAACAAGCGCCAACGUUAGCUACACGAACUAAAAGGCAAUGACGGACCAGACUAAUAUCGAGCGUCCAUUAGAUCAAUUUACAAGAUUUUUAUACUUUGUUUAAGGACCCAUUUAUUUUUGCACACAUGAAGUUGCGACAAGAAGAAACAGGAAGAAUCACGAGGAUUAUGACAUAAAAAAGUGUCUGUAGUAUUUGAUACACAAUUUUGUUGUCCAUUUUGUGACGAUCCGAUGUAUUAUGUGAAAAUGCGUCAAGAAACUGUCCAUGCUUCACUUUUUUUUCAAAUCGAUAGUCCUCGUGAUUUGGAAUACUGAUACUGAUACUUGGGGUAGCUCCAGCCAACAGAUCCUAGAGCAAGGACUAGGAAGCAGAGACUACGAGAGGAAGCGAAGUUGAGGCAAAAUAGCACUGGGAGCUCGCAUGACUCUGCUGAUUUAGCCUAAGCGGCAGCGGGUCGGUGCACUAUGUCAGCAUCACCUCACACCGGCUAAGGAUAGUCCUCGUGAUUUUGAGUAGUAUAGUAACGCAAAAAUUGAUAGUUUUUCGAAAGAAAGAAGUUAAUGGAACACUUAUUCUCUUCUUUAUUCUGAAAAUGCCUAUAUUAGUCAAUGCCACAGUGUGCCUUUGCCCCCUUAUUUUUACUUAUAUCUAUUUUUUACAUCUAUAUCUUUAGUUUACACAAUAUUUUAAAAUAUAACUAGGUGGAAUCAAACAGCUAAACUAUGAAUCUAAUCAGUGUGAUCCAGAAACUCUUUUACUCUGUAUAAACAAUGCUUAAGUAGGUAAGAAUCUAAAUAGUGUUUGAUAUAUGUAGUUGGUUUAUUUUUUAGAUCAUCAGGUAAGUUCUGUUAUACUUUUAUUGCCACAAAGUAAACACUUUUUUGAAAUAAUACCAAGUUGAAUUUAGGCAGAGUUAACUUCUAAAAGCAGUGGAAAUUGAGCUCUAGGCCUCUUCUCUGGUUUAUUUUCUAGUCAGUAGAUUGGAGCUUUAUAACACGUGGUACGUAUUGUCCAUAGACAACUUUCACGUGCGUUAUUAGAGAACACGCAUGUAGAGGUAACAAACGGCUGUAAUUCGAACCAUUAUAUUCAGAUCGCUGCCGCACGCGUCAUUACUUCAAAUUGAUAAAUAAUUGUAAUGUACCCUGGUAGGUUCAUGUAUCAUACACUCAGUAUUGCUUAUCUACAAAGUUAUAUAUAUGCUACAUGAUUGUGGCCAGUUUUAUAACAUUAAUGUAGUAUAACGCAUAGCAUAAUAAUAAUAUAUUGGAAAUAACAUGUUAUUUAAAAUAACUACUCAGAAUUUAAUGAAAUCUAUUUUAUGGCCCCCAAGUGCAAACAUAAUCGAUAUACAUUUAACGGUGCAGUGAUAAGGUCGAUAUUAUUUAUUUUAAUGUUAAAUAUGACAAAAUACUCUACAAGUAGUGCCGCAAUAUUUCGUAUAAAAUUGUCAUCCCUAUAUGUAUACCAUUUUUGGAACAGUGAUCAUAUGCGGCAUCUCAUCAUGAAAUAAGCCAAGUCCCCUUGCAAACUAUUUGGUCUAAAAAGUAUAAGUUGCAUCUGCCCAGCGCCCAGUCGUAUUUCUGUUUACCUGAUUUUCACCUCUUUUCACUAAAGUCAUUGUGUUUUAAGAUCUGUUUUAAGCAUUAUCGAGACCCUACCGAGCUGGCAACAUCAGCCAGUAUUGACUCUGUCUUGGAAAGACGGAUAAAAAACCCGACAAGCCAUGAUUAGAUAAUGAUGCCUUUGUCAUUAGAUAUCGGAGGCAAAAAGUGUCGGUGCUGCUCAGGUAGCGAUUAGGGUUGUCAAUGCUAUACCAAUAAGAAAUUUAUUUAUCAACAACAUGUGCCCACAAGCGUUUAUGAUAUGUACAAUACCUUUGUUAUACGGAAAAUGUACCUACUAAUAUUUAUGUAAAUGUUAUAGCGAGCUGCAAAAGUGCGUGGAUAUUAUGAAUAUGACAUCUAUUCAUAAAGUGGCCAUGCAUUUUUUCAGCUCGGUAUACCUACUCAGAUUAGCUGCAGAAGGUUCAACAUAAUGUAUGACUAUCUCACAUUGCAAUAAAAGUAACUAGGUCUACUAAGGAUACAUUUCUUAAUUCAAUCAAAAUGAAAUACUUUCCGUCAUAGUUAACGGAAUACUUAACCAUUUUUAAUUUUUCAAAUAGGAUUAUUUAUGAUAUACGAUAUCGCAUUCAGUAUGGAACAAAUGAAAUCCAAUACCAGAAGGCCAUUAGA